rnacentral:tRNA from 1 species
UGUAAUUUAGUUUAAGUAGAAUAUUUAUUUUUGGUGUAAAAGGUUAUAAUUACAA